rnacentral:rRNA from 1 species
GACGAACGCUGGCGGCGUGCUUAACACAUGCAAGUCGAACGCUGAAGCUUGGUGCUUGCACUGGGUGGAUGAGUGGCGAACGGGUGAGUAAUAAGUGAGUAACCUGCCCUUGACUCUGGGAUAAGCCUGGGAAACUGGGUCUAAUACUGGAUACGACAUGUCACCGCAUGGUGGUGUGUGGAAAGGGUUUUAGUGGUUUUGGAUGGGCUGACGGCCUAUCAGCUUGUUGGUGGGGUAAUGGCUCACCAAGGCGACGACGGGUAGCCGGCCUGAGAGGGUGACCGGCCACACUGGGACUGCGACACGGCCCAGACUCCUACGGGGGGCAGCAGUGGGGAAUAUUGCACAAUGGGCGGAAGCCUGAUGCAGCGACGCCGCGUGAGGGAUGACGGCCUUCGGGUUGUAAACCUCUUUCAGCACGGAAGAAGCGAAAGUGACGGUACGUGCAGAAGAAGCGCCGGCUAACUACGUG